ensembl:lncRNA
AUACACUGUGCUCAAGAGUCAUUCCUGUGCGGGUGCAAGGCACAUUUCAUGUUUCUUAACUGUAUUUUUUUUUUCUUUCUUUCUUUCUUUUUUUUUUUUUUUCUUUCCUGUGUGCCUAGCAAAGGACGCUUUUUAUUCAGAAAAAAUUCAGUAAGGAAGGAACUGUCAGCAGCACAGUAACUUUGUUACCAUUUUCUUUCCUGCACUCUAAAUCUGAAAAAUCCAACUGAAAUUAAGUUGUAUGAAAUAAAAUCAAUUACUUCAAAUCAAGGAAAAAAACACUUCAGUUCCACAGAUCUUCUGCUAGCAGCUGCAACUGAGAAGACACCUAAGUUUACUUGGUCCACAUGGAGACUGGGAAAGAUAAGACCUCGAAUGUUAAUAUGAGCAGAAACAAUAGAUGAACAAGGUGCAUAAAAUAACCAACCUUAAAAUAAUAAAAAGCUACUAUCUGUAAUAAUGUGUUUCCAUACUCUGUAACACCAUCAAUGAGUGCUAAAACAGUCCAUCCCCAUUCACUCCUGUUGAUGUCAUUUCCACUGUUACAAGAUCAGCC